AUGGCGACCAUGGUCUCGUCGCUCUUCCUCUGCCCCGCCGGCGCUCUCGUCUCCCCCAGUACCACGCGGAGCCGCCGCUCGUGCGCCCCCAGUCUCCAGUUCACCAAUCGCCAACGAGGUCCUGUGCUCAGGCUGUGCAGCGCACGCCCUAGCGCUCCGGCCCUGAGCCGGUGGUGGGCCACGGAGCUCACCCCGGAGGAGCUCCCCACGGAGGAGACCGACGCGCCGACCACCGGGCACGGCCGGGAGGAGCUGGAGGCCAUAUGGAACGCGCUCGUCGCCGAGCCCCUCCGGCCCGUCCUGCUCGCCCUGCGCGAGAUCAGGGACCGCGGCCACUUCUUCCGCUGCCGCAGCUACCAUGCCGGGAUCGUCGCCGGCCCAUUGUUGAUGAUUGCUGGUUUGUGCCAGCUUGGUAAAUUAGUACCAACCCUGUUCGUGGAUAUGAUUCUCGGAUAUAUAUUCUACAAGUUAAGUGUUUUAGCAGCAGAACUGAAAAGAAAUGGGAAGGCAAACCACAUGUGUGCUCGGAUACAGCUCGCAAUGUCACUUAUUUUGUUGUACAAGGAUAACAGCGCUUUUUCGGGUGUUUACCGGCUCGUCACGAAAAUUAUUUGGCUCAUUUGGGUUGAAGUGUACUUUGGAGCUGUAUACUAUGAGAUUGCAGGCGAUAAGGACCCGAGACGCCACCUGCUAGGAAUGUACAAGAUACUAAAAACUAAAGGUGGUUUGAUGAGGGUGAUCAGGAAUUUGAUGGAAGAAUAG
rnacentral:rRNA from 1 species